ACACAAGAUUUGUUAACCCGGACUUCGUUUCCUACUGUCCGGGGAGGGAGCUUCGCCCUCAACGAUUCACUAAAGCCAAUAUAGAGUUCCGGUAACAGUUACACAGCUGAUAUCUCAACACAACAGAGAAGAUACAGUUUCGUUACCUCCGAAAUACACUCAAGGUAAUCGGAACCUUCUAUACGACGUCACCGGAGCUACUCCUGCUCCAGUCUCUGAUCAAUCGCACAAGGUAGAUUUCUCUUCUGCGAAUCGCUCUCUCCAGUCUCAGUUUCAGGAUGAUCGCAUGACGAAGAUAAAGUGGUCGUUAGGCCGUUAGACCUUUUGUCAUCACGUGACCUGACUUGGGCUUCUCAUCUCAUAUUCAAGCCCAGCUCGUCGGCCCAUUAGAAGAAGUCAGAAGUCCUCAAAGGCAAAGCCCACAAAUCUCCACCUCUUUUGACUUCAGACAUGUCGACGAGACCCUAACACUGUCGAUCUCUUCUCUCUUGUCGCCGAUUAACCUCAAUCCUAUCUCCUCCUGUCAUCGAUAUUCUUAGACCUCGAUCGUCAAUCAGCUUCUCCAUCAUCUCUUCUGAAACUGACCCGAAACAGCUCUCUCUUCAAAAGAAGCGAUCUCAGCUGUAACAUCUGACCCUGAAAAAAAACUGGGUGCUUUCCUAGCAAACCCUCUCUUUCUCCCUUAGUACUCCACCUGAGACAAGUAUCCCUUUGAGAAACAAUUUGACCUCCUGAUGAAACAACCAGAUGUAUCAACCAGAUAUCCUUCAGAGAUCACUUAUGACCUCCUUUACUCUACGGGUAACUCCUCUCCCUUAUUGUCUGAACUUCGUGAAUACUCCUUUUUUUUCAGACUUUACAGAAACUAACCACUCAGUUCUUCUUUGUUUAUGUAUGUGUGAAACACCAUUUGGAGCUACCCGGAGCCGCUCGUCUACUUCAGCAGACAUUCAGAAACUCACAGCAAAACUCAAACUUCGUGCCAGGUAAACACUUAGUUAGAAAAUCUGCCGGAUUCUUAGAAGUAUGUAUCUUCGCUAGGUUGACCACCCGCUUAGAUACGAUGUCCCUGAUGAAAUUGAACUGAGUAUCCAUGUGUUUAGUUCUCUCGUGAUGCACUGCAUUUUUAGAUAAAGCAAUUGCACUCUGUGAAUCACAGUGUAUCCUUACAUUGUCUUGUUUGUAGCCUAGUUCACUUACAAAAUUCCUUAGCCAAAUAGCUUCUUUGACUGCUAGAGUUAAAGCCAUGUAUUCUGCUUCAGUAGUAGAUAACGCCACUACUGACUGUAGUCCUGACUUCCAGGACACAGUGUUUCUUCCAACUUGAAAAACUAUUCCAGAAACUGAUCUCCUCUUAUCUAGAUCUGCGGAAUAAUCUGAAUCAGAAAACCCUUCAACCCUGAACUCUGUAGAUUUCUUAAACAUCAAACACUUCUCAUAAGAUUUCUUAAACAUCAAACACUUCUCAUAACUCCCGGCCACAUAUCUUAAAACCCAUUUCACAGCUUCCCAGUGUGCUCUACUCGGGUGAGACAUGAAUCGGCUGACCAGUCCCACAGCAAAACCCAAAUCAGGACGUGAUCCGACCAUGGCGUACAUCAGACUCCCUACAGCACUUGCGUAGGGCACAUCUUUCAUAUACCCAUAUUCCUCAUCUCGCUCUUUUGGAUGUAAACUCUUAAGUUUGAAAUGCGAAGCUGUUGGUGUAACAACUGAUAUAGCUUCGAACAUUCCAAACGUCUUGAGUACCUUCUCCAAAUACUUCGCUUGUGACAACUUAAGCGUUCCUUCAUUUCUAUCUCGUGUGAUAUCCAUGCUGAGGAUUCUCGAAGCUCUUCCUAGAUCCUUCAUCUCAAACUCUGAGAACAAACUAUUCUUCAAUUCCUUAAUUUCUGUUUUACUCCCUGAGGCAAUGAGCAUGUCGUCAACAUAUAACAACAAGUCGAUAGCUUUAUCCGAGCUCACAUUCUUCAUGUAUACACACGAGUCGUAUUCACUCCUUAUAAACUUCUGCUUCAUCAUAAAACCAUCAAACUUCAAAUUCCAUUGUCUCGGUGAUUGCUUGAGACCAUAUAAUGACUUUCUCAGCAAACAAACUUUAUUCUCAUCACCUUUCUUCACAAAACCUUCUGGCUGCUCCAUGAGAAUUCUCUCAUCUAAAUCCCCAUGUAGAAAAGCCGUUUUAACAUCCAUUUGCUCUAGCUCAUAGUCAAAAUUCACCACCAGAGAUAGUAUAAGGCGAAUAGAGACAUGCUUAACCACUGGAGAGAAAAUUUCAUUGUAGUCUAUGCCUUCCUUUUGGGAAUAACCCUUAGCUACAACUCGUCCUUUGAAUCUUGGAUCUUCAACUCCUGGAAUACCAGGCUUCAAUUUGAAAAUCCAACGACACCCCACAAGUUUCUGAUCUUUGGGUCUCUCAAUAAGGUCCCAUGUUCUGUUCUUAUCCAGAGACACCAUUUCUUCUUUUGCAGCAGCAUUCCAAAAUUUUCUCUCCUUUGUCUUCAUAGCUUCUGCAUAAGUCCUUGGUUCUUCGACUUCUAUUUCUUCUGCUGCAUUUAAUGCAUAAGCCACCAGAUUUGCAUCAUCAAAUCUCGAAGGUGGUCUGAUGUUUUGACGUCUGUUUCUAUCACGAGCUAAGACAUAAUUGUCCAGUGAAGGGUCUCCUGAACUGACCACAAUACCACCAUCCUGAUCCGACUCUGAUUCUUCAUCUGAAGUAUCUAACUCGUGUGAGCUCUCCUCAUCUGAUUCUUCUGUUAAAACUCCACCUGAACCUGAUGUCUCUCCUACCUCAGUGAUUGUCGUUGAAGGUCCCUGAAUCAAUUCAUCAUUGAAGCUCACACGUUUACCUUUUUUCUUACCAACAUCCUUUUCCUUGACGCCAGAUGAUGAAUCAGAUAAGGUAUCUUUGAAAACUUCUUGCUCAUGAAACACAACAUCUCGACUUGUAGUACAUUUUCCACCAUUCUCAAUCCAUAUUCUGUAGCCUUUUACCCCGAAAGGGUAACCCACAAAAACACCUUUCACUGCUCUCGGACUGAUCUUCUCUUGCACUCGAUGUACAUAAGCAGAACACCCAAACUUCCUGAGAUGUGACAAAUCAACUUUGCCACCUGACCACCUUUCUUCUGGCAGCUCAAAGCCAAUGCUUGAUCCAGGUGUUCUAUUGAUCAAAUAAACAGCUGUUGAGGUAGCUUCUGCCCAGAAUUCAGGUCCUAGUCCAGUCUCAGCUAACAUGCUCCUUACCUUGUCCAUAAUGGUUCUAUUCAUUCUUUCAGAAACACCAUUUUGCUGCGGUGUAUAAGUGCAAGUACGAUGUCUCUUCACCCCUGAAUCCUUGCACAGUUUAUCAAAUUUGUAGUUGCAGAACUCUAGACCAUUAUCCGUCCUUAGACACUUAAGCUUCUUGCCAGCUUGAUUCUCAACUUCAAGCUUCCAAUCUCUGAAUUUAUCAAAAGCUUCAUCCUUAGUCUUGAGAAAAUAAACCCACACUUUCUUUGAGUAGUCGUCUAUAAAACUAACAAAAUAUUUGCAUCCUCCAAGACUUUCUGGGGUUGAAGGAGAUCCCCAAAGAUCAGAGUGCACAUAAUCCAAAAUACCUUUUGUGAUAUGUUUAGCCUUUGGAAAACUUUGCUUAUGCGCCUUCCCUAACGCACAACUCUCACAAAACUCCAAUCCUUCAACCUCUUUAAUUUGCAAAUACCCCUUCUUGAUCAACACAUUCAUGUUAGACAGGCUCAUGUGUCCAAGUCUUGAGUGCCACAAGUCUGUCAUGUUUGUCUCAACUUUUCCAAUGUUAGCUUCAGCUCUUGAAACAGUGCCUUGUAGAUAGUACAAUCCAUCUUCAUAAUUUCCUGAGAAAACCUUAACACCAUUCUUGAAGAAGUCAAUUCUGAAGCCUUCACCCUUGUAGGUACAACCCGCUUUCUCUAACAUACCGUAUGAGAUAAGAUUCCUACUCAUCUUAGGCAUGUAUCGAACAUCAGUGAGAACAACUUCUUUUCCAUCUGAGUUAACAAUCUUGAUCUUUCCAAUUCCCUCAACAUCGCACUGAGUAUUAUUUGCCAUUAAAACCUUUCCUCCAUUCACCUUCUUGAAGUCAAAUAACACAUUCCUCUGUGGUGUUAUAUGAAAAGAACAUCCUGAGUCAAGCACCCAAUCAUCCUUAGUAUCUUGUGUACUGACUGUUAAGACCAAAGGUUGUUGUCUUGAUGCUGAGACUGUGUUAACCGAGUCACCAGAACCCUGUUGUCUGUUGUUUCUCUGUGGACACUCUAGUUUCCAGUGAUCAUCUUUGCCACAUAUGAAACACGCAGUCUUGCCAUCCUUGUUAGCUCUAGGCUUGGACUUUGAUCUCUGGUCCCUUGACUUUGAUCUUCCUCUGUAAGAUUGACUGUUACCUUUGUCAACCCUCUUGUUGGACCUUCCUCGUGACUCAACAUAUAAUCCUUCGGAACUAGACUUUUCUUUACUCACCAAACCUUUCUGCUUUAACUCAAUCUCCUUAGCAUAAGCAGACGUAGUUACUUCCCUCACAGUAAGAGUAUCCUUGCCAGUUCCAUACUUCAGUGUAUGAACUAAAGCCUCAUAUUGUGGUGGAAGACUUGUCAGUAGCUGUAUCGCUUGGUCUUCAUCAUCAACAUUGAUGUUGAGACUAGCUAGAUCUCCAAUCAUCUUGAGAAACACAUCCAUAUUCUCUUCAAUGCUUUUACCUUCUUCCAUCUUGAAACUUGCAAACUGUUACUUUAGAUAGAUCCGGUUAGGCAAUGUCUUAGUUUGAUAGUCAUGCUCAAGUGCCUUCCACAUACCAAGAGCUGUUGCCUCAUGCAUAACCUUUCUCAAGAUCAUAUCGCUUAGACACGUUCCCAUCAGGUUUUUCACUCGCGUGUCCUUAGCAACCUUGACUAGAUCCAAGAUUGGAUCAGCUCCUUCUUCAAGCUUCUCAGAAUCUUUGUAAAGAGUAGCAUUCUCAUCAAGCGCAGAUGCUAGUCCCUGUAUCUCUAGCUGACCAAGCAGUUUAUACUUCCACAUCCCAAAGUCUCCUUUUCCAUCAAACUUGUCCAUCUCGAAACGACCCCGUGUGGGAUCAAUCUCGACACGACUCGUUAUAGAGUCCAUCUUGAUCGAUCUCCUUCAGAUCCUCAAUCACAACACUUAAGCGUAACCUGAAGGCUCUGAUACACUUGUUAAUUUGCUUCCUAUAGAUCGUUCGCUUUGCUUUCGUGAUUAGAUUCUGAUGAUCGAUUGAUUUGCAGAAAUGAAAUAAGCGUAAAUCAAGAUCACACACAAGAUUUGUUAACCCGGACUUCGUUUCCUACUGUCCGGGGAGGGACCUUCGCCCUCAACGAUUCACUAAAGCCAAUAUAGAGUUCCGGUAACAGUUACACAGCUGAUAUCUCAACACAACGGAGAAGAUACAGUUCCGUUACCUCCGAAAUACACUCAAGGUAAUCGGAACCUUCUAUACGAUGUCACCGGAGCUACUCCUGCUCCAGUCUCUGAUCAAUCGCACAAGGUAGAUUUCUCUUCUGCGAAUCGCUCUCUCCAGUCUCAGUUUCAGGAUUAUCACAUGACGAAGAUAAAGUGCCGUUAGACCUUUUGUCAUCACGUGACCUGACUUGGGCUUCUCAUCUCAUAUUCAAGCCCAGCUCGUCGGCCCAUUAGAAGAAG
rnacentral:lncRNA from 1 species